rnacentral:rRNA from 1 species
UACGUAGGGGGCUAGCGUUGUCCGGAAUCAUUGGGCGUAAAGCGCGCGUAGGCGGCCCAGUAAGUCCGUUGUAAAAGUCAAAGGCUCAACCUUUGAAAGCCGAUGGAUACUGCUGGGCUAGAGUCCGGAAGAGGCGAGUGGAAUUCCUGGUGUAGCGGUGGAAUGCGCAGAUAUCAGGAGGAACACCGAUAGCGAAGGCAGCUCGCUGGGACGGUACUGACGCUGAGGCGCGGAAGCGUGGGGAGCGAACAGG